UUAUCACUUAUCUGCGGCAGUGUGGGUUCUGUGGGCAUUUCGUCAUACGUGGUUAUAUCCAUCCGUCUAUACUGACCCAAGCUUUUAUUUUCUACCCUAGUACAUGAACUAAACGCAAACGAACAUACAGUUUUAGGUCUAAAGCCUUGAAUGGCUGCCAUAUAGGCAUCAAUUCGUGAACGAGCCGAGCCCCUUGUCAUGCAGGUGCUGGCUGCAUGAAGAACGUAGUUAAACAGAACCGAGGCUUACAAAGUGCCUUUUAAUACCAGCUUGUUUGCCUCAUGAGAGACCAUUUUGUUCAGUGCCGAGUAAAAUGUGGUUCAUAUUGCAGAGUAGCUGCAUAUGUCACACUUAAGCAUACCUCGAGGGUAAUUCAGCAGCGAGCAAAAAUUUUGAGGACGUUCCACUCUAGGUUCUACAGGUUUAAGAUCAUGCAAAUAAAAUGACAUUCACGCUGAUGUUGUCACAGGAAUAAUCAUACUCAGACAUAUUUGCCCAGCUCAAGAGACUGAAGGUUACCAAGGAUGAGACAAAGAAGCUUCUGGAACAACCUUCUGACAGGGGAACUGGAAUUGAUGGCACAUGAAGUCCCCUUGUCCUGUUUUUUCACGUUGUACCAACCAGGGAGGACAGAGAAAACCAGCACUGAACAGCAUCUGCUAGGAGUAUGCAAUCCUCCAAAAGCUGUUGGACUACCCAGGAGAGUUGAGGUACCACACCUGAACAGAAAUCCUGAACAUCAAGACCUGCCCGAGCCCGUCACAGCUGUGAGAAUGCGAGCAAAACCAGCCCAGCUAACUUUGUGCAGUGCUGCUGACCAGGCAGAAGGGAGCCCUUCACCCACAGAGUGAUAACCCCAGCUGUGUCAAGUUCAGUGAUCCCUGCCAGCGUUGUUCGUAUUGGUUUGUAGGCAUCUGCCCUCAGGGUCCUGACUUUGAUUCCGCCUCCUGAGGUCUGCACUUAGGCCAGCUCAUUCUUGCCUAAGUCCCUGGUUCAGUCAGCCUCUGCAAAAAUGGGGAAAAUUUGGCUCCUCAAUUCAGACAAGAAGACAAGAAGUGUUCCAGCCCUCACAGGGGCCUGCCAUGGCAGCCUUGUGGAUGGAAAGAAACCCUGUAGAAACCCAAAUCCACAUCCUCUCAGACCGGAAUGGAGACAGAGGUCUCUGAUGGUUGUUCAUACUUGUCUAUGUCUCUUGCGUGGGUGGUCACUAAAGCUGUGUUUAACAUUAUGCGUGUAGUGUGUACUUCUCAUUUGGGCUAAGUGGAGGAAAAUGAAAUGGUUGAAAAGGUAGACCCUGCUGCCCAAGGCAUGGAGCACAUCAAGGCAUUCAGAGAAGAGGAGGUGACAUUUCCACGAUACAGGAAUAAUGAAUGGUCUUAAAGAAUUCCCAUCUCCUCUUCUUACUCCUGCCUGCAUCCUUCUCUUCUCUCUCCUUGGUUGCAAAGCUAAGCCUUUUUAUAUUAUAAACCCUCUAGCACCAUUCAAUAUCUAGGGUUUCUUU